AAAAUUUUUCGAAAGAAAAAAAAAUCUGUUCUUAUCAGUUUAAUAUCUGAUACGUCUCCUACCCGGGGACUACAUAUUAAAUUGAUUUUUGGAUCACGGAGCUGGAGCCGGGGCUUGCUCUGUCCACUCCACGCAUCGGCCUGGUAUUGCAGUGUCUCCAGGAACGCUUCAAACACA
rnacentral:snRNA from 1 species